AGAGCGAACGCUGGCGGCAGGCCUAACACAUGCAAGUCGAACGGACCCUUCGGGGUUAGUGGCGGACGGGUGAGUAACACGUGGGAACGUGCCUUUAGGUUCGGAAUAGCUCCUGGAAACGGGUGGUAAUGCCGAAUGUGCCCUUCGGGGGAAAGAUUUAUCGCCUUUAGAGCGGCCCGCGUCUGAUUAGCUUGAUGGUGGGGUAAUGGCCCACCAAGGCUACGAUCAGUAGCUGGUCUGAGAGGAUGACCAGCCAUAUUGGGACUGAGACACGGCCCAAACUCCUACGGGAGGCAGCAGUGGGGAAUCUUGCGCAAUGGGCGAAAGCCUGACGCAGCCAUGCCGUGUGUAUGAUGAAGGUCUUAGGAUUGUAAAAUACUUUCACCGGUGAAGAUAAUGACUGUAGCCGGAGAAGAAGCCCCCGGCUAACUUCGCGCCAGCAGCCG
rnacentral:rRNA from 1 species